rnacentral:rRNA from 1 species
UCAUGUGACCCCCUGAACGUGCCCAAUCUUGUCUGAUCUUGGAAGCUAAGCAGGGUCAGGCCUGGUUAGUAUGUGGAUGGGAGACCUCCUAGGAAUAGCAGGUGCUGUAGGCU